UCUCUUAUUUCCGUCAUUGUUCCCUCCGGUUUUAUCCAUUGGUGUAAAGCAAAGCAACCGGAGGUCCUUCCGUUCUAUCCCCAAGUACGAAUCCUCGCCUUCCUUCUCUCGUCCCCCACAUUCCCAAAGCAACUAAUUUGGUGCCUGCUCUCUAUCUCUUCUGUUUUUCCUGGAGGAUUCGUGAGAGGUUCCGUAUUUUAGUGAAACCCAUUUGUCGUUUGGGUGCCUAAAGCAUUGAGGGCAAGAUGAUUCCCGUGUCAAGGGGUUCAUGGCGUUAGGAGGUUCAAUGUAAAAGAGGAAAUGGCCUUGGUAACUCAUAACGCGCAGCAUUCUUUUCCGACCAGCACUUCAAGAUCGUCUUUACCAUGCUCGAAAGCGGUCAAGAUAAAACCUUCUUUGGCCCUCCGCUUGGUUGGUAGAAUUAAUCAAAACAACCAAUCAAAGCAUCGUCUGCUUUUCAGCGUUGGAAACCGACCCAUCUUAUUGUCAUCAAGGAAACCAUUCAGAGUAUCAUCAUUCAAAGGCAACCCUAGUAAUGAUGAACCAGAUAUCAGGACUGAUGAUUCCAGAUCAUCCAAUUCUUCCGUUCAGCUCUCAUAUGCGACACAACAAAAAGAAGAGGCUAGUGCAGGUUCUCAUGACAAACAGAGGAUAUUCUCAAAGUGGUUGUUGAUGUUGUGGUCAUCCAGCCCUGUUGAGCAAGUAGAUGAGAUCGUAAAUGAAAGACCACAUGAAAGUGAAAGCGACACUGUCAAGCAUGAUCAUCUUCAGACAGCAGCUGUAAAGCUUCUGAAUGCCAUACUGAGAGCCUUCCUUGGACUUGAUCUUGCAAUCAAACUGCCCUUGGUGAUAUUUGUUCCUUUCUAUUUAGCGGUCAGUGCCAUCUAUGGAGGAGAAGUUGUGAAGGACCUUACGCCUCUGUGGACACUGGGACCUGCCAUUGUCUUUCUCUAUGUUAAGCUGGUGGAAGGACUCUGUUCUCUGUAUGUUUUCACCUUCAAGCAGGCAAUCUUACUACUGAAGAGGGCACCUGGAUUCUUGUUGUGGCUGUACAGUUAUAUAAAAGAAGGGAAACUAAAAGCGAAGAUGAGGGAAACCUUUUGGCAACCUGUGGUUGAUAUAAAAAAUUUAGAUUACAGGUCAUUAGUCAACUCAAAAAUAAAGGAACUGGAAGUAUGGAUGGUAGAACAGUACCUAGAUUUUGUGGAGUCAAUAUGGCCUUACUAUUGCAGAACAAUCAGGUUUCUCAAAAGAGCGAAUCUCAUUUAAGUUGGCGACUCUGUAGGAACUAUAUCAAGAACACAUGUUUUAGUCUGGUUUUGUUGACCACCAUUUUUGAUCCAUCCAUUGGUGGUAUAGUGAGGGCAGCUACAAAAUCUCCUGGGAAAGCAAGAUAGAGAAAAGCUUGCGAUGUCUUUUGCAAUUUUUUCUGGCUGGAGUUCCAUGUGAACUAAAUUGAUCGGACCAGUUUUUGCUGUUGAAGAGGAUGAAUCUGCCAAGUGGAUUACGUUUGAGGUCUUCUAUGCAAUUCUGGGCUUCCUACCAAACCACUCCUGCAGCAAAUUGAAUGGAGAACUUCAAAGCUGGUAGUUUUGGAUCAACCUUGCCAUGAUAUAGACCGCAGUUCUAUUAAGACAUCGAGUUCUGAUUCUGCUUUUUGUUUGCGUGAAACUGGAGAUGCUUGUAAGCGGUGAUCAGCGAGAAAGGGCUAUAUUUCCUCUCUAGAUCUCUUGAUGUCAAAAUAAUGUCUACCGCAGCUGUGAGAUCAUUCAAAUGAUCGAUUUCAGUUAUUGUGAUGGCCAUGAACCUUUCAGAGUAAAAUCCUUGGUACGUCUUUGUUCUGAUGUGUCCACAAAGUUGGAAAACUACUUGAUUUGAAUGAUUUAAUUUGAUAUUACGUGACAGUA